rnacentral:rRNA from 1 species
CGGGAAACUGGGGAUAAUACCGUAUGUGACCGAGAGGUGAAAGAUUUAUCGCCUUGGGAUCAGCCCGCGUUGGAUUAGCUAGUUGGUGGGGUAAAAGCCUACCAAGGCGACGAUCCAUAGCUGGUCUGAGAGGACGACCAGCCACACUGGGACUGAGACACGGCCCAGACUCCUACGGGAGGCAGCAGUGGGGAAUCUUGGACAAUGGGCGCAAGCCUGAUCCAGCCAUGCCGCGUGAGUGAUGAAGGCCUUAGGGUUGUAAAACUCUUUCGCCGAGGACGAUAAUGACGGUACUCGGAGAAGAAGCUCCGGCUAACUUCGUGCCAGCCGCCGCGGUAACA